rnacentral:rRNA from 1 species
AGUGAACGCUGGCGGUAGGCCUAACACAUGCAAGUCGAACGGCAGCACAGUAAGAGCUUGCUCUUACGGGUGGCGAGUGGCGGACGGGUGAGGAAUACAUCGUAAUCUACUUUUUCGUGGGGGAUAACGUAGGGAAACUUACGCUAAUACCGCAUACGACCUACGGGUGAAAGCAGGGGAUCUUCGGACCUUUCGCGAUUGAAUGAGCCGAUGUCGGAUUAGCUAGUUGGCGGGGUAAAGGCCCACCAAGGCGACGAUCCGUAGCUGGUCUGAGAGGAUGGUUGGCCACACUGGAACUGAGACACGGUCCAGAGUCCUACGGGAGGCAGCAGUGGGGAAUAUUGGGCAAUGGGGGGAAGCCUGAUACAGCCAUACCGCGUGGGUGAAGAAGGCCUUCCGGUUGUAAAGCCCUUUUGUUGGGAAAGAAAAGCAGCAGGUUAAUACCCCGCUGUUCUGACGGUAACCAAAGAAUAAGCACCGGCUAACUUCGUG